rnacentral:rRNA from 1 species
AGGACGAACGCUGGCGGCGUGCCUAACACAUGCAAGUCGAGCGAGGAGAUCCUUCGGGAUGAUCCUAGCGGCGGACGGGUGAGUAACACGUGGGCAACCUGCCUCAUAGAGAGGAAUAGCCUUCCGAAAGGGAGAUUAAUACCUCAUAACAUUGCAGUUUCGCAUGGAACAGCAAUUAAAGGAGUAAUCCGCUAUGAGAUGGGCCCGCGGCGCAUUAGCUAGUUGGUGAGGUAACGGCUCACCAAGGCGACGAUGCGUAGCCGACCUGAGAGGGUGAUCGGCCACAUUGGGACUGAGACACGGCCCAGACUCCUACGGGAGGCAGCAGUGGGGAAUAUUGCACAAUGGGGGAAACCCUGAUGCAAGCAACGCCGCGUGAGUGAUGACGGCCUUCGGGUUGUAAAGCUCUGUCUUCAGGGACGAUAAUGACGGUACCUGAGGAGGAAGCCACGGCUAACUACGUGCCAGCAGCGGC